rfam:Triticum aestivum genome assembly, contig: Triticum_aestivum_CS42_TGACv1_scaffold_445112_5DL
GAAAGCCGUAUUCGAUGAAAGUCAUAUGUACGGCUUGGAGGGAGAUCUUUCCUAUCUUUCGAGAUCCACCCUAC